rnacentral:rRNA from 1 species
UGGGGAAUCUUAGACAAUGGGGGCAACCCUGAUCUAGCCAUGCCGCGUGAGUGAUGAAGGCCCUAGGGUUGUAAAGCUCUUUCAGUCGUGAAGAUAAUGACGGUAGCGACAGAAGAAGCCCCGGCUAACUCCGUGCCAGCAGCCGCGGUAAUACGGAGGGGGCUAGCGUUGUUCGGAAUUACUGGGCGUAAAGCGCGCGUAGGCGGAUUGGAAAGUUGGGGGUGAAAUCCCGGGGCUCAACCCCGGAACGGCCUCCAAAACUAUCAGUCUUGAGUUCGAGAGAGGUGAGUGGAAUUCCGAGUGUAGAGGUGAAAUUCGUAGAUAUUCGGAGGAACACCAGUGGCGAAGGCGGCUCACUGGCUCGAUACUGACGCUGAGGUGCGAAAGCGUGGGGAGCAAACAGG